rnacentral:tRNA from 1 species
UCGGGCCGUGGCGCAGCCUGGUUAGCGCGUCCGUCUGGGGGGCGGAAGGUCGUGAGUUCGAAUCUCACCGGCCCGACCA